rnacentral:lncRNA from 1 species
GAAUAAUGAAAUGGUGUAGGGUAGGCUGAAACGAAAUAAAAUCAAGGCUAAGUGUGGCGUUGGGGAAGUAGAUAAGAAGAAGAAGAACUCACUUGUUCGGAAUUCAAAAGAUGAAUAAACCUGGAAUUUUUUUUUCAACACUUCACUUUUUUUUAUAGCUUCGUAUUUUUUUCUUUUUUUUUUUGAAUUUUCGUAAUUCUUUUUUUUACUUUUCCAAUACAAUAUGAUGAAUACAAAUGAAAACAAACGCAACCAUUUUUUUU